GGCACCCGAUUCGAACGUUAUCACUCGAUUGAAUGGGGCGUUAUCAGCAGUUAUCAGCCCAUAGAAAUGGGCCAGGAGGGGCCUCCUGUGCCUACUAGUAGGCUCAGAAGGCCGUGAUCAUCCAUCCAAAUGGUUGAUCACCCACAAAUAUACAAGAGAAGACUCCAGAUCCAAUCCCAGAAUUCCUGCUCAUCGGUAAUCGGAAGUCUACUGGACGAAUGCGGGAACGUUGCGAUAUUUCCUGCUUAAUAUUUUCAGGCACAAUGAAUGAUAUUAAGGGCAGGUGCGCCACAUUGGGGGAAGAUGCAAAGCAGAAAUACAUUCAAGAGGCAGCAGCACUGAGGGCACAUGGGCAGGCACAGGACACUAAACCCUGAGAUGGAGGCAAUUUGUGCUGUGUCUGCUGCAUCCAUUUUUAUGAUAAGAAGAAGAAUGCAAGAAAGAAGUGGCAUUCAUGGUCUCAGUGCACAGUGUGCCAAUCAUGGUCACACACAGCAUGUGGCUUUAAAAAGAACAUGUGCGUUCACUGCCAGGGUCAAGACACCAUGCUAACACCCUGAAGAUGUAUCUUGUUACUUGUUUGAGUUGUUUUUACUGUGUUGACGGCCCCCAACCCAUCCAUACAAACACACACACACAAUACAUACAUAUGCUGCAAAUUUAUUGUAAUGACCACACUUCACACGUAAGAAGAAAAUUGUGAUCUUUUUGUUAUUUUCAUUCACCCCAUUUUUAUUUAUUAUUGUUGUUUGUUGGCACCAUCAAUGUGUUCUCCUUUAUACAGGACUUAUGUGGGGACCAAUAAAGUUAUAUUGUACUGAAUUGAGUCUACAUGCUUUUAUAUAUAUAUAUAUAUAUAUAUAUAUAUAUAUAUAUAUAUAUAUAUACACACACCUGUUUCAUCAUUGGUUCAGUAGGGCUGGGUUUUAGCAAGGACCUCACCUUAAUAUUCACAACAGUGGGUCAGAGUAUGAUUUCAUGUUAUGAUUAGAUGCUUCACAUAACUUUAUAUUUUUCACAGUUUUGCUGUCAGUAGGAGAUGCUUGGCAAAAAAAUAUAUUGAAAAGAUGGUUACUGGUACUUGUAGAAACUUUGGUAUACAGCUGAACACUACAAUUUAUUUAUUUUAAAUUUAAAUGGUUUCUAUGGCAUUGCUUACUUCCACUCUGAAGUAUUUUCUUCACAAUUACUGUUACGCUUUUAUUUUAAUGAUAAACAUUUAAGAGAAAAUGUGAAGGGUAUCAUUUUAUCUGUGUUAAGGAUAUCAAUUGUUUCUCCUUGGAUUCAGAUAAAUAAAGUUUAUUGUCAGUU